AGUGAACGCUGGCGGUAGGCCUAACACAUGCAAGUCGAACGGCAGCACAGUAAGAGCUUGCUCUUACGGGUGGCGAGUGGCGGACGGGUGGGGAAUACAUCGGAAUCUACUUUUUCGUGGGGGAUAACGUAGGGAAACUUACGCUAAUACCGCAUACGACCUACGGGUGAAAGCAGGGGAUCUUCGGACCUUGCGCGAUUGAAUGAGCCGAUGUCGGAUUAGCUAGUUGGCGGGGUAAAGGCCCACCAAGGCGACGAUCCGUAGCUGGUCUGAGAGGAUGAUCCGCCACACUGGAACUGAGACACGGUCCAGACUCCUACGGGAGGCAGCAGUGGGGAAUAUUGGACAAUGGGCGCAAGCCUGAUCCAGCCAUACCGCGUGGGUGAAGAAGGCCUUCGGGUUGUAAAGCCCUUUUGUUGGGAAAGAAAAGCAGCAGGUUAAUACCCCGCUGUUCUGACGGUACCCAAAGAAUAAGCACCGGCUAACUUCGUG
rnacentral:rRNA from 1 species